AGUGAACGCUGGCGGUAGGCCUAACACAUGCAAGUCGAACGGCAGCACAGUAAGGCCUUGCUCGUGGGUGUCGCGAGUCGCGGGCGUGUGAGGUACACGUCGAUCUGUCCUUUUGCGGGGGAGAUCGCAUGGGGACGCAUACGAUUAUAGCACGUACCCCCUGCGGGUAAGAGCAGGAGCUCUUCGCCCCUUGCGCGUUUAAGUGCCCAUGUUGGAUUAGCUAGUUGGCGGGGUAAAGGCCCACCAAGGCGAGGAUCGGUAGCUGGUCUGAGAGGAUGAUCAGCCACACUGGAACUGAGACACGGCCCAGACUCCUACGGGAGGCAGCAGUGGGGAAUAUUGGACAAUGGGCGCAAGCCUGAUCCAGCCAUACCGCGUGAGUGAAGAAGGCCCUCGGGUUGUAAAGCCCUUUUGUUCGGAAAGAAAAGCAUUAGGUUAAUACCCCGCUGUUCUGACGGUACCGAAAGAAUAAGCACCGGCUAACUUCGUG
rnacentral:rRNA from 1 species